rnacentral:rRNA from 1 species
GAUGAACGCUGACAGAAUGCUUAACACAUGCAAGUCAACUGUGGCGGACGGGUGAGUAACGCGUAAAGAACUUGCCUCACAGUUAGGGACAACAUUUGGAAACGAAUGCUAAUACCUGAUACUGUGAGAGAGCUUUGCGUCCCAUUAGCUAGUUGGAGAGGUAACGGCUCACAAAGGAGAUGAUGGGUAGCCGGCCUGCGAGGGUGAUCGGCCACAAGGGGACAGAGACACGGACCUGACUCAUACGGGAGGCAUGAGUGGGGAAUAUUGGAAAAUGGACCAAAGUCUGAUCCAGCAAUUCUGUGUGUACGAUGAAGUUUUCGGAAUGUAAAGUGCUUUCAGUUGGGAAGCGGUACCAACAGAAGAAGUGACGGCUAAAUACGUGCCAGCAGCCGCGGUAAUUC